UCUAUAAGGGAUAGGUUGGGAGCAACGUAGAUAACUUGUUGAGUCAGCUAACAACAAGACAAAGAGGUGAUGGUCAUUCAAGUUUCAAUGAUAGUGGUUUAAAUGAUUUUCACAUUGGUAAAGAUGACCUCCGGUUUUAACUCAUGCAAAAAAAUGUGUUUCGAAGGGCUCAAAAGGACAAUAACCAUAAGGGCAUGGACCUUCGCCAAAAGUUGUCAAGAAUGGGACUGCCUC